CAAAUUAUCCAUAGAAGAUUAAAAUUGGGUAUCACUAUUUGACAGGCAGACUAAUGGCUUCCCAAAGUCAUCCUAAUCCCCAGAAUCUAUGACUAUGUUACAUUAUAUAGUAAAGGGUAAUUAAGAUUGAAGGCUGAAGUAAGUUUUCUGAUCAGCUGACAUUAAAAUAAGGAGAUUUUUCUGGAUUAUUCAGGUGGGUCCAGUGUACUCCUCAAGAUCCUUAAAUGUGUAUGGAGGAGCAGAAUAGUCAUUUUCAGAGUGAAUGGGAUGUGAGAAAGACUGGAGUGGCCAUUGCUGGCUUUAAAGACAAAGGGGGCCCACCAGCCAAGAGAUAAAUCAGAGAAAUAAUAUUGUUGGUUUCAAGAUGUCAAGUAAAGCUUUCAUCCACCUGGACACUGUUCUUUGUUCAUGCAUGAGUGCUAGAUGCUACAAGAUACUGGAAGCAAGAAGGCAAGCAGGUCUUCCAAGGCCUGAAUGUCAUGGAAGAAGGACCAUCUGAACUAUAGCAGCACUGACCUGGAGUGCCAGUGGAGGCUUUUUAGUGAAGUAUGUUAAGAACUCGAUGAGAAAUAGAAAAAUCAUUGUGAAUGAAACAAAACAGGUCUUACCUGUUAACCUUGGAGCAUGAAUCUGUUGAACCUUUGAAGGAAGGCAUCCUAAAGGACACCACUUGUGAUUCAUCCCAGGGAGGCUACGAUGGAAAAUAUUUCCCAGAUGUCUUUCCAUAUAUGCUUUGACUUGAAGCUUCAAUCACAGAUAAGUGAAUGUUUUCUAAACCAUUGCAUUGCUUUAGUUCAGUGAGAGACAUUUCUGUUGUUAGGUAGGGUGAUUUUUUUUUUUUUUUUCAAAAGGCAAGGUAACGAUCACAAUUUGUUAGCAACUGUUCUCCUUUUCUCAUUUUAUUAGUUUUCCCUAUUCAGUGAUGAACCAUCUUAUGUUUUUUACUUGUAAGUUCCUAACUCAAUUAAACUGCUCAAGUGGUUUAGCCUUGUAUAUUAAAGACUAUCAUAAAUAAAUUCAAAUGAGGUUAACCUUGGAGUGACAUCCUCAUUUCUAUAAUGAUGUGCAGUCUGUGACUCCUUUCUUAUCAUUGGCCACAACAUGAUCAGACUCUAAUUCGUAAAGACCUUGGAACUUUAAGUUACUUCAUCUCCAGCCACUUGGAUUCAUUUAUUUAUAAAUGGUUAUUUCAAGUUUUCUUUCAUUUGGCUCAAGCUGUUGAUUGAUGUUUCGUGUGAGUGUUUUCCUCAUCAAAAAGCAGGAAGAUAGCUGGGACAUAACUUUCCAAUAGCCUUUUUAAUAUGAAAGCCUAUUUUGUAUAUGGCUCUUUCUGUAAUCACUUGUGCAUGACUGAGCUUAAAUAGUUUGCAGACCUUGCUGAUGGAUUACAGAAGAAGCAAUGAACUGGCAAUUCUUUUUUAAGGGAUUAGGUGACUUUGCACUGUAGUGAAUUGUGCAUUUUCCCCCUUGUUUCACUUUCUUAGGUGCUGUUUGGUGAUCAAUUUUAUGGUAUAUAAUGAGAAAUUCCAUAGAUGAGUGCACAUGGUGGAUAGUACCUUCUGGUAAAAAUGACAUUCUUGUCUAGUAAUAAUGGGCAUGGGAUAGGAGCUGAUGGUCUGUUCAUGUGUAUUUCCAAAGGGAGGUUGAGGAACUCAGUUAAGGAAGAAGUAGUCCCAGGCCCUUCUGACCCAAAACUGGCCCAUUUGCUGUUGAUGGAAUUAUAGAGACCCCCAGGCUGCCAUGAUGCUUACCAGCCAAGUUAUGUCACGUCCUCAGCAACCUUCACCUUUUGCUUCACCUGCUCAUCUUACAGUAUUUUUUUGCUUUGUGUCUGGCAGACCUAUUAGGGCAAAGAUACUGGUAGAAGUUUAACACAAAUGUUGAUUAUU